UACGAAGGGGGCGAGCGUUGUUCGGAUUUACUGGGCGUAAAGGGCGCGCAGGCGGCCGUGUGUGUGAGGCGUGAAAGCCCGGGGCUUAACCCCGGAAUUGCACCUCAAACUACAUGGCUAGAGCAUUGGAGAGGGUAGCGGAAUUCACGGUGUAGCAGUGAAAUGCGUAGAUAUCGUGAGGAACACCAGAGGCGAAGGCGGCUACCUGGACAAGUGCUGACGCUCAGGCACGAAAGCGUGGGGAGCAAAAGGG
rnacentral:rRNA from 1 species